CAUGGAAGACAUUCCUAGUCAAACCACCAGAGAUGGGGAUAAGAUGUGAGCAAGUACAUGGAGCAGAGAUAUGGUGGACUUUUGUGUAAUGUUAGCUUUACAUGCUUGAGAUAAGACAUUUGAUGCAAUCAUCUAAGAAAGCUGGAUGACAAUUAGAAGAAAACCAACUGGAUAAAAUACAGAUUUAUUAAAUAUCUACUAUUGG
rnacentral:lncRNA from 1 species